rnacentral:rRNA from 1 species
AUGGAUGGGAGCUGCUCCCUGAAUCCAACUGCGCGGACGGGUGAGUAACACGUGGGCAACCUGCCUGUAAGACUGGGAUAACUUCGGGAAACCGGAGCUAAUACCGGAUAAUGCAUAACCUCUCAUGAGGUUAUGCUGAAAGAUGGUUUCGGCUAUCACUUACAGAUGGGCCCGCGGCGCAUUAGCUAGUUGGUGAGGUAACGGCUCACCAAGGCAACGAUGCGUAGCCGACCUGAGAGGGUGAUCGGCCACACUGGGACUGAGACACGGCCCAGACUCCUACGGGAGGCAGCAGUAGGGAAUCUUCCGCAAUGGACGAAAGUCUGACGGAGCAACGCCGCGUGAGUGAUGAAGGUUAUCGGAUCGUAAAACUCUGUUGUUAGGGAAGAACAAGUGCCGGAGUAACUGCCGGCACCUUGACGGUACCUAACCAGAAAGCCACGGCUAACUACGUGCCAGCAGCCGCGGUAAUACGUAGGUGGCAAGCGUUGUCCGGAAUUAUUGGGCGUAAAGCGCGCGCAGGCGGUCUCUUAAGUCUGAUGUGAAAGCCCACGGCUCAACCGUGGAGGGUCAUUGGAAACUGGGGGACUUGAGUGCAGAAGAGGAAAGUGGAAUUCCACGUGUAGCGGUGAAAUGCGUAAGAUUUGAGGAAACACCAGUGGAAGGAAUUGCUCUGGUCUGUACUUACCUAGGCGCAAAGGUGGGGAACAAAGGAAUAUUCCUGUUAAUCACCUAAAAUAGUAUUGUAGUGUUCCCUUUGUCUAAACAUAACCCGGGAUGC